rnacentral:rRNA from 1 species
UACAGAGGUCCCAAGCGUUGUUCGGAUUCACUGGGCGUAAAGGGUGCGUAGGUGGCCUAAAAAGUUUGAUGUGAAAGCUCAGGGCUUAACCCUGAAAUGGCAUUGAAUACUGUUGGGCUGGAGGUUUGGAGGGGGGACUGGAAUUCUUGGUGUAGCAGUGAAAUGCGUAGAUAUCAGGAGGAACACCUGCGGUGUAGACGGCUUACUGGACGGUAACUGACGCUGAGGCACGAAAGCGUGGGUAGCAAACAGG